rnacentral:rRNA from 1 species
CACUGCCGAGAAAAGCCUCUAGAUAGAAAAUAGGUGCCCGUACCGCAAACCGACACAGGUAGUCAAGAUGAGAAUUCUAAGGUGAGCGAGCGAACUCUCGUUAAGGAACUCGGCAAAAUGACCCCGUAACUUCGGGAGAAGGGGUGCUCUUUAGGGUUAACGCCCAGAAGAGCCGCAGUGAAUAGGCCCAAGCGACUGUUUAUCAAAAACACAGGUCUCUGCUAAACCGUAAGGUGAUGUAUAGGGGCUGACGCCUGCCCGGUGCUGGAAGGUUAAGAGGAGUGGUUAGCUUCUGCGAAGCUACGAAUCGAAGCCCCAGUAAACGGCGGCCGUAACUAUAACGGUCCUAAGGUAGCGAAAUUCCUUGUCGGGUAAGUUCCGACCCGCACGAAAGGCGUAACGAUUUGGGCACUGUCUCAACGAGAGACUCGGUGAAAUCAUAGUACCUGUGAAGAUGCAGGUUACCCGCGACAGGACGGAAAGACCCCGUGGAGCUUUACUGUAGCCUGAUAUUGAAAUUCGGCACAGCUUGUACAGGAUAGGUAGGAGCCUUUGAAACGUGAGCGCUAGCUUACGUGGAGGCGCUGGUGGGAUACUACCCUAGCUGUGUUGGCUUUCUAACCCGCACCACUUAUCGUGGUGGGAGACAGUGUCAGGCGGGCAGUUUGACUGGGGCGGUCGCCUCCUAAAAGGUAACGGAGGCGCUCAAAGGUUCCCUCAGAAUGGUUGGAAAUCAUUCAUAGAGUGUAAAGGCAUAAGGGAGCUUGACUGCGAGACCUACAAGUCGAGCAGGGUCGAAAGACGGACUUAGUGAUCCGGUGGUUCCGCAUGGAAGGGCCAUCGCUCAACGGAUAAAAGCUACCCCGGGGAUAACAGGCUUAUCUCCCCCAAGAGUUCACAUCGACGGGGAGGUUUGGCACCUCGAUGUCGGCUCAUCGCAUCCUGGGGCUGUAGUCGGUCCCAAGGGUUGGGCUGUUCGCCCAUUAAAGCGGUACGCGAGCUGGGUUCAGAACGUCGUGAGACAGUUCGGUCCCUAUCCGUCGUGGGCGUAGGAAAUUUGAGAGGAGCUGUCCUUAGUACGAGAGGACCGGGAUGGACAUACCUCUGGUGUACCAGUUGUCGUGCCAACGGCAUAGCUGGGUAGCUAUGUGUGGACGGGAUAAGUGCUGAAAGCAUCUAAGCAUGAAGCCCCCCUCAAGAUGAGAUUUCCCAACUUCGGUUAUAAGAUCCCUCAAAGAUGAUGAGGU